rnacentral:rRNA from 1 species
UACGUAGGGUGCGAGCGUUAAUCGGAAUUACUGGGCGUAAAGAGCUCGUAGGCGGUUUGUCGCGUCUGCUGUGAAAACUCGGGGCUUAACUCCGGGCCUGCAGUGGGUACGGGCAGACUAGAGUGCGGUAGGGGAGACUGGAAUUCCUGGUGUAGCGGUGAAAUGCGCAGAUAUCAGGAGGAACACCGGUGGCGAAGGCGGGUCUCUGGGCCGUAACUGACGCUGAGGAGCGAAAGCGUGGGGAGCGAACAGG